ensembl:misc_RNA 7SK 7SK RNA
AGAUGUGAGGGCAAUCUGGCUGCAACAUCUGUCACUCCAUUGAUCACCAGGAUUGAUUCUACUGAUCUGGCUGGCUACGGCGUGUCCCUCUCCUCUCUUACCACUCCAUGUGCACCCCUCCUGGAACUGCAUGUUUGGUCCAGGAGGAUGACCUUCCCCGAUAGAGGAGGACACCUCUUUGGUCAAGGGUAUAGAAGUAGCUGUGCUCCACUACUAGAACCUCUAAGCAUGCUCUUAAGGUCCGUUUGUAGGAGAAUGUACAAUACUCAAGCUUCCAAGACUCCAGACACACCCAAAUGAGGCAGCACAUGUAGCAAUCUGCCUUUCUUU